rnacentral:rRNA from 1 species
GCGAGAAAAACUUUGCAAUGUGCGAAAGCACGACAAGGUUAAUCCGAGUGGUUUCUGCUAAAGGAACCUUUUGUCAGUCCUAGAAACACUGGUGAAUAAGGGGGUGGGCAAGUUCUGGUGUCAGCCGCCGCGGUAAAAACCAGCACCUCAAGUGGUCAGGAUGAUUAUUGGGCCUAAAGCAUCCGUAGCCUGCUUUGUUAGUUUUCGGUAAAAUCCAUUUGCUCAAACGAAUGGGGCUGGCCGGG